GCCUGAGUGGCUCAGUCGGUUGAGCAUCUGACUUCGGCUCAGGUCAUGAUCUUGCAGUCCGUGAGUUCGAGCCCUGCAUCAGGCU
rnacentral:tRNA from 1 species